AUUCAUCUUCGGGGCAGGGUGAAAUUCCCGACCGGCGGUGAUGAAGCAAUUUGCUUCUCAGCCCGCGAGCCGCAUAGGCACGAUCCGGUGCAAUUCCGGAGCCGACAGUAUAGUCUGGAUGGGAGAAGAUGAAG
rnacentral:ncRNA from 2 species